rnacentral:lncRNA from 1 species
CAAAAUUUCAGCUGCAAUGUAGUGUCCAUUACUAUGAUAUAGCCCAAGUUCUUGCUCCUCUUACCUCUCCACAAAGGACUUAGCCCUGCCUUGCUCUUGGUAAGGGCAGUUUCUGGAUUGAAGCUACUGGCUUGGCUCAAGGCUCUUGAGAAGUGUUCAUCCACUACUGAACCAAUAUCUCCCUGGAAGUAGGUGAAAAGGACGCAGCGAGAGUUCAGGUACUCCAUCUCAGCUGGCUGAUCCUUCUCAUCCUCUUCUUGCUUGCUGGGAAGUGUCACUUCCAGAGACUCCUGCAUCUUGUUGUAUGCAGCUAAUUUCUUCUGCGGGCAGCCCCUCGCGGGCGGACCCAUGUAGCGGGGCACCCCGCACGCCGCCGGGCCGGGCUGCUGCAUGGCCACGUCCGAGCAGCUCAUGGCCGCAGCCGCGGUCGCCCCGCGCCGCCACCGCCUUCUUCCCCCUCCUCCUCCUCUUCCUCCUCCUCCGCGCGGGGCGGCCGCGGCGGGGCCCCGCGCAGCGCCGACUGCCAGAGCAUCUUCGGCGGCCGCCGCGUCCCGCGCCCGCACUUAUAGCGCGGC